rnacentral:rRNA from 1 species
GCAUAUCAAUAAGCGGAGGAAAAGAAACCAACAGGGAUUGCCUCAGUAACGGCGAGUGAAGCGGCAACAGCUCAAAUUUGAAAUCUGGCCCCCCGGCCCGAGUUGUAAUUUGCAGAGGAUGCUUUUGGCGCGGUGCCUUCCGAGUUCCUUGGAACAGGACGCCUUAGAGGGUGAGAGCCCCGUACGGUUGGACACCAAGCCUUUGUAAAGCUCCCUCGACGAGUCGAGUAGUUUGGGAAUGCUGCUCUAAAUGGGAGGUAAAUUUCUUCUAAAGCUAAAUACCGGCUGGAGACCGAUAGCGCACAAGUAGAGUGAUCGAAAGAUGAAAAGCACUUUGAAAAGAGGGUUAAAUAGCACGUGAAAUUGUUGAAAGGGAAGGGCUUGUGACCAGACUUUUGCCUCGCGAAUCAUCGGGCGUUCUCGCCCGUGCACUUCGCGGGGCUCAGGCCAGCAUCGAUUUUUGCGGGGGGACAAAGACGUUAGGAACGUAGCUCCUCGGAGUGUUAUAGCCUUUCGCGCAAUACCCCCGCGGAGAUCGAGGUUCGCGCAUCUGCAAGGAUGCUGGCAUAAUGGCUAUCAGCCACCCGUCUUGAAACACGGACC